rnacentral:piRNA from 1 species
AGGAAAACUGAGUCCGAGAGGUACAAGU